UACAGAGGUCUCAAGCGUUGUUCGGAUUCAUUGGGCGUAAAGGGCGCGUAGGCUGCGGGGCAAGUCGGGUGUGAAAUCUCAGAGCUCAACUCUGAAACUGCACUCGAUACUGCCUUGCUCGAGGACUGGAGAGGAGAUUGGAAUUCACGGUGUAGCAGUGAAAUGCGUAGAUAUCGUGAGGAAGACCAGUGGCGAAGGCGGAUCUCUGGACAGUUCCUGACGCUGAGGCGCGAAGGCCAGGGGAGCAAACGGG
rnacentral:rRNA from 1 species